rnacentral:rRNA from 1 species
UACGUAGGGUGCGAGCGUUAAUCGGAAUUACUGGCGUAAAGCGUGCGCAGGCGGUUUUGUAAGCCAGAUGUGAAAUCCCCGGGCUUAACCUGGGAAUGGCAUUUGGGACUGCAAGGCUUGAGUGCGGCAGAGGAGACUGGAAUUCCUGGUGUAGCAGUGAAAUGCGUAGAGAAUGUGGAGGAAUACGAUGGCGAAGGCAGCCCCUGGGAUAACACUGACGCUCAUGCACGAAAGCGUGGGGAGC